rnacentral:rRNA from 1 species
CCUACGGGAGGCAGCAGUGGGGAAUAUUGGGCAAUGGAGGCAACUCUGACCCAGCAAUGCCGCGUGAAUGAAGAAGGUCUUCGGAUUGUAAAGUUCUUUAAUCAGGGACGAAGAAGAUGACGGUACCUGAGGAAUAAGCCACGGCAAACUAUGUGCCAGCAGCCGCGGUAAUACAUAGGUGGCAAGCGUUAUCCGGAUUUAUUGGGUGUAAAGGGCGUGUAGGCGGGAAAGCAAGUCAGAUGUGAAAACUCAGGGCUCAACCCUGAGCCUGCAUUUGAAACUGUUUUUCUUGAGUGCUGGAGAGGCAAUCGGAAUUCCGUGUGUAGCGGUGAAAUGCGUAGAUAUACGGAGGAACACCAGUGGCGAAGGCGGAUUGCUGGACAGUAACUGACGCUGAGGCGCGAAAGCGUGGGGAGCAAACAGGAUUAGAUACCCUUGUAGUC